rnacentral:sRNA from 1 species
UCCAUUUACGGAUACCCGGUCGAGGGGGGU